AGAGUUUGAUCCUGGCUCAGAGCGAACGCUGGCGGCAGGCUUAACACAUGCAAGUCGAGCGGGCGUAGCAAUACGUCAGCGGCAGACGGGUGAGUAACGCGUGGGAACGUACCUUUUGGUUCGGAACAACACAGGGAAACUUGUGCUAAUACCGGAUAAGCCCUUACGGGGAAAGAUUUAUCGCCGAAAGAUCGGCCCGCGUCUGAUUAGCUAGUUGGUAGGGUAACGGCCUACCAAGGCGACGAUCAGUAGCUGGUCUGAGAGGAUGAUCAGCCACAUUGGGACUGAGACACGGCCCAAACUCCUACGGGAGGCAGCAGUGGGGAAUAUUGGACAAUGGGCGCAAGCCUGAUCCAGCCAUGCCGCGUGAGUGAUGAAGGCCCUAGGGUUGUAAAGCUCUUUUGUGCGGGAAGAUAAUGACGGUACCGCAAGAAUAAGCCCCGGCUAACUUCGUGCCAGCAGCCGCGGUAAUACGAAGGGGGCUAGCGUUGCUCGGAAUCACUGGGCGUAAAGGGUGCGUAGGCGGGUCUUUAAGUCAGGGGUGAAAUCCUGGAGCUCAACUCCAGAACUGCCUUUGGUACUGAGGAUCUUGAGUUCGGGAGAGGUGGGUGGAACUGCGAGUGUAGAGGUGAAAUUCGUAGAUAUUCGCAAGAACACCAGUGGCGAAGGCGGCUCACUGGCCCGAUACUGACGCUGAGGCACGAAAGCGUGGGGAGCAAACAGGAUUAGAUACCCCAGUAGUCC
rnacentral:rRNA from 1 species